rnacentral:lncRNA from 1 species
UGGGCUAAUAUAUAUUUUCAAUGUCGAUUAUCCUACAGAUUGAAAGGUACAAGGAAUAUGGUUCAAAUUUAACUUAUCUUGGAGGAAAGCAUCUAUAUGGAAAGAGGCUAUCCCCUCCUAAACCUUCAUGCCUUAGCUCUUUGUCAAGAAGUCUGGCACAGGGGUGCCAACAAAAGAAGUACGAUAGCUAGGAUGCUUAAUAUCUAGCAGAAAAUCAAGAAGAGAGUGCCCAUUCUUCAUUUUUCUUCCAGCAUUACAUUGUAUUUUUCUUUCUUCAUCCUUUUAGUUUCUACAAAUCCUAUUCAAUCCAUUGAUUCUUACAGUGUUCGGUUGUGUUCACUGUAUAGAGUUUGUACUGGUAAUUUUCUGUAACAUGGCAGAUGUAUACUAGUAUAUUCAUUCAAGACAAUAAGAUGCUUCAUCUUUGGCUCUUUUUUUUUGUUAUUUAUUUUCUGCUGAUAAAUUAAGUGUUCCAACUGCACCGGCCAACCGAUGAAAACAGCUAAGUUGCACACUCUCUUUCUCUCUCUCUAUAUAUACAUAUAUAAUGUAUAUUAGUGAAGCAGAUGGUUUUCAUCUCAUGCAUGACAAGUAUAAAUACAUCCAGCAACGUCAGAAUACAUUCUCUCUCUAAGUUCUUGAGGAUAGUCUGUAAUGGUGGUCCAUAAAUAAGAAGAAUGGUGAGCCAAGUAAGAAGCUACCUAGUCAGCAGGCCUGUUGUUCUCUCUGAAGAUGUGAGAAGCUCUAAAUUCAGUCAAUCCUUGGAUCAUGCACCAAAUGUACAGAAUUCAUAGAGGUGCAUCAGAGUGUGGUUGUGCCAGCCUAUUGAUCCAGCCAAUGACAGUUUGAGACUCCCUCUCAAACCAGAUGCAGGUUGCAUGAAGUUAAAGAGGUUGCAUACUACUGUGAGCUCCACCAUAUCCACACCUGCCCACCUCUAGUUGCUUGGUCUAUAUCACUGUCUUAACUUGUCUGGUUAUCUCCUUAGCUAUACAAUGUUGCCAAGAUCGAGAUCAGAUUGUCUGAAAUUGCAUACCUCUUCAAAGUCUUGGAUGUCUUACUAUGAUGAAUCAAAGCUUAGCCCAAAUCUCGUCAGAAAAGCUUUAACCCCUUCGUGUUUGCCAGGUUCUGGUUUUGAAUGUUGUCUCGGUGCUAAAUUUUCUAAGUCAUUGUAGGAUUGGCUUGGCACCGUUGGAGGCAUGUCUCAAGACGUUUACAUAGGUUGGUGCUUAGAUUGUUAGGUGGGUAAGGUCUCCAUAAUCAGCUUUAAAUAACUGGAAGACUGCCCUAGCUUUCAGAGGUGGGGCACUUGCUUAAUCGGGACCUAACUCCACUGGAUUUAAGAUUUUCUUCUGGAACUAACCUAACUCCACUGGGUUUCUUGGCUAGGCUCCUGUGUAGGGCCUAAUCAAACUGGGUUAAGUUUUGAGGUUGCACCACAAAUUCUUCAAAUAGAUCACACGGACUUAGAAGGCCUAUUAGGUUAAAUCUUGCAAAAUUUAUUUUUGAUCCACUCAAUGUGAUGCAUCAGAGAUAGUGGUCGGCACAAUCCCAG